CUUAACAUCUCUACAAUAGACCGCCGUGCGUUAAUGCAAACUUCAACACCUUGCAGCGCAAUCAGCAAAUCAACACGGCGCUGACGUCAACGCAGCCAGUCAGCCAGACGAGCAGCAGGCAGGCGGGCAGCCGGCGCUGCGCUCCAGCCCAUACAAACACUAAGAAAGUGAGACACCUAGGGGGCUGUCUCAUGUCAAACGGCUGUGUUACAGUAUGGCAGUGAAAGGUGAGCGACACUGCCCUCCCUCCAGCUGUUCGAAUGCACAUGCAGCCUACAGUUGAGCUCGAACUCCGGGCUAAGAGUCGAGUGGUUUGGCGCCCCUGUGGGGGAAAGCGAAACUCGUAAUACUCCAGAAGACUCCCCGCAUCCAUCACCUGCUCUCAGUGCGUUCGGUGACGCUUCUAGUCGUGUGUAGGUGUUUGAGCAGAGCAGUGCAAAGGUUAGCUGAGGAAAAGCAGAGGCUGCCCAUCCUUCCUCCAUAGGAUUCAUUCAAAAAGUGCUUUUUAAAAAAAAGUUAUUUACCAUAUUUUAAUUAAUCAACUCCAUGUAAAAAAAAAAACUUAUCAGAAGAUCAUUGGUGCUGUAACAUACAAUCAUGCACUGCACUUACCGUUCAUAGUAAGAUGCUGAUUCACAAAAGUAGAAAAAAAAAACCCUGAAAGGAAAAAAAAAUACAACAUUUACACAUACAACUAAACUACAAAUACAACACAAGUAUAAAACUACAGCAGUGUAUAGAGGUGUCAGAGGAUCAGGGGUGUGGACAGUACUGUUCCUCUCUCAGCCAUGAGUGGACGCCCCCUGUUAAAAAAACAUUACAGCUGUGUUGCGUUACAUUGAUUGAGGCGAGUCAAAACAAGCAGCAAAGAUGCAACAAGUCGCCACAUCUCAGCCGGCUCCCCGAGACGCUGGAAGUGUUCACGUUCAUUUUCAAACUUGGAGUGACAUCUAUUUUCUUUUGCUGCAUUGUUAGGCUCUAUAAGUGCCUUUGUUCUACUCAUGUCUUUAUUCUGUUUGAAUAAAGAUUGUCAUUCAAAAUGCAAA